CACGCCGUAAACGAUGAGCACUAGGUGUCGGGGUCGCAAGAUCUCGGUGCCGCAGUUAACGCAUUAAGUGCUCCGCCUGGGGAGUACGCACGCAAGUGUGAAACUCAAAGGAAUUGACGGGGACCCGCACAAGCAGCGGAGCAUGUGGUUUAAUUCGAAGCAACGCGAAGAACCUUACCAGGACUUGACAUCCUCCUGACAGGCCCUUAAACGGGCCCUUCUUCGGACAGGAGAGACAGGUGG
rnacentral:rRNA from 1 species